UGUGCAGAGGGCAGGUAGGACUUGUGGGUAGGCAGGGAACAGGAACACGUGGGAUGGCAUUGCCUCUGAGAGCGAGGAGGCAGCCCUGGACACUGGAAAGACCUGCUGUGCAGACCGCAAAACUAACUGGAGGAAACUCUACCAAAAACUGUAAUAUGGAAAAAAGGGAAAAAAUGAAAACAUCAAGAUCCCUCACAAAGCUCUGCAAAGAUUCAUCAAAAUCAUCUACUCAAGGUGCCUGGAGAAGAACAAGGAGAUAAUGGACAGGCAUGGAGACCAGAGUUCUUCCCAUGGUCUUUGGCACACCAUUGGAGCAUACAGAUGCUGGACUAAGAUCAGCUGUGUGGUGGAGAGAGCCUCUCAGGAGGUUUUCUUUCUCUUAUGGAUCUGGCAUAAAACCUAGAAGACCCCCAGCUCCUAGAAGACUGGCCACCCUGAUGACUCCACCAGGAUUGUCGUAACACAAACCACUGGGUGAGGUGAGACUCCCCCAGCGCUUCACCUGCUGCCAAGACCCAACCCAAACUGUGGACAAGGAAGACGCCGGAGAGUUGAUGGUCCCACUUUUCCUAGAGAAGAUUUCCACUUGGCUGACAGGAACAUCCAAAUAUCAGCUGCUGACUUCAACCUGCUCCAUACAAAUGCCUGACCUGGACUUGUUGAAAGCUGAUGUGGACCAGACCAAUUAGUGUGAUUGCUCCCUGUCUCUUCAGCUGGGUCAGCAAACCAGAUGCUUCUGAUGAAUACCCCAUUACCUGAAUUCCCUCCUUGCCUUUGAAUAGCAUUUCAGCCCCCGCCCGCUCCUGGCCCUGCAACAAUAUCCUAGUUUCAACAGGAAGUUGUUGUUCCCCAACAGGCUGGAAUGUCAGAUCAAAAGGAUAGUCCCUCGAAUGUGGGACAAAACUACUUAUAGAACCUAUUUGCAUAUAGGACAAGUACCUGUUAAACCAAAUAGGCCCAGAUCUAUCAAUAGGUAGAUUCAUUAACUGAAAUAUUUCUGCAUUAUGCCAGGGCACUCAAUUUACUCUAUGUAAAACAAAGGUUACUGUAUACAUUUAAGAGAAAAUUGUUGUUUCUGUACAAAUCACUCAGGAAUCAUUAGAAAUAACCUGGCUGCACUAAGAAAAAUUGUUGCAUAAAAGGGGAUAAGUAAAUAACUGAUCCCUACUCUCAUUUCCAGCUUCCAUCUAGAUAGUAACUCUGAUGUUACUCACAGGGCCUUUGGCCCUUCUGCUUCUGCUGAUGGCUGUUGGCUCUUGCUUCCUUGAUGCCUUAACUAAGUGAUAAUUCCUAUCUGGGUACCAUUCUAAUAUAAACAGGUACCCAUUACAGAGUCAAGGAUUUGACUUAGGAUACAACUCAAAGGGGGAAGGGGGAGGAUGUGAGAUCCAGGUUACAUUUUAAGUUGUAAUUACUGUGCAAGGAAAUUCAUGAAACAAAAAAGGCUCUGAUAUGCAAGCCCUUUGUCCAAGAACAGAUAGUUCCUGAAAUGCUGGAGUCUAUUGUUUGUGGACAAUAAGAAGUCACACGUUUUUACUCCUCUAAACAAGUUUUUUUUUUACCCAUCUACAUUGAUCACAUAUGGGCAGGAGGCAUACAGACAGGAAGUACAUCAGGAUGUAUGUUUGUCCAUGAUUGGACCUCAUGGGAAAUGUAGGGAAUUAUGGGCUGUGCUUUCUGAAGACUCUGCAAAAUGUGGCUUGGGGCCAUUUCCUGGGAAUCUAAGUAUAGACCUGGCCAGAGUCCAUCUACCUGGCCAGUAUUUAAUUAAAGCUUGCAUCAAAUAUGAAAAAAGAGACCUUUUUAUAAUUGACAAAUCUCCUAUAUUGGUCUUCUUGUAUAAAAGCAUAUGAGUGGGCCUGGAAGGAAGGAGGGAUGAAGAGGGAAUAGAGUGUGUGUGUGUGUGGGGGGGAGAUUCUAAUCUAGGCUCUUGCCUUUCAUAUCCAUUGACUGAAGCCUCAGAAACAUUUUAUUUCACCGCUUGACACAUGUGCACGGAAGCUCACAAUUCAAAUACAAAUUUCAUGGACAAACGCAAAGCUUUACCUACGUGUAAUGGGUUGUACUCUUUGCCGCUCUGUCUUAGAUCCUCCCAUCUCCUAUGUAGUAGAGAAACCAAUCCU